rnacentral:sRNA from 2 species
UAUCUCUCCGUACGGGGAAGGAUGAGAAGCUUCGACUAAGGUUCGAUUCGAGCGCAGCGAGAAAGCGUUGCCGUAGGCAACGACCCGA